rnacentral:rRNA from 1 species
UACAGAGGUCCCAAGCGUUGUUCGGAUUCACUGGGCGUAAAGGGUGCGCAGGUGGUUUGGCAAGUUUGAUGUGAAAGCCCCGGGCUUAACCCGGGAAUGGCAUUGAAUACUGCUUGAACUGGAGGGUCGGAGGGGGGACUGGAAUUCUUGGUGUAGCAGUGAAAUGCGUAGAUAUCAAGAGGAACACCAGUGGCGAAGGCGAGUCCCUGGACGAUACCUGACACUGAGGCACGAAAGCCAAGGGAGCAAACAGG